AUUGAACGCUGGCGGCAGGCCUAACACAUGCAAGUCGAGCGGAUGAAGGGAGCUUGCUCCUGGAUUCAGCGGCGGACGGGUGAGUAAUGCCUAGGAAUCUGCCUGGUAGUGGGGGAUAACGUCCGGAAACGGGCGCUAAUACCGCAUACGUCCUGAGGGAGAAAGUGGGGGAUCUUCGGACCUCACGCUAUCAGAUGAGCCUAGGUCGGAUUAGCUAGUUGGUGGGGUAAAGGCCUACCAAGGCGACGAUCCGUAACUGGUCUGGGAGGAUGAUCAGUCACACUGGAACUGAGACACGGUCCAGACUCCUACGGGAGGCAGCAGUGGGGAAUAUUGGACAAUGGGCGAAAGCCUGAUCCAGCCAUGCCGCGUGUGUGAAGAAGGUCUUCGGAUUGUAAAGCACUUUAAGUUGGGAGGAAGGGCAGUAAGUUAAUACCUCGCUGUUUUGACGUUACCAACAGAAUAAGCACCGGCUAACUUCGUG
rnacentral:rRNA from 1 species